rnacentral:rRNA from 1 species
UGCAAGUCGAGCGAAUGGAUUAGAGAGCUUGCUCUUAUGAAGUUAGCGGCGGACGGGUGAGUAACACGUGGGUAACCUGCCCAUAAGACUGGGAUAACUCCGGGAAACCGGGGCUAAUACCGGAUAAUAUUUUGAACUGCAUGGUUCGAAAUUGAAAGGCGGCUUCGGCUGUCACUUAUGGAUGGACCCGCGUCGCAUUAGCUAGUUGGUGAGGUAACGGCUCACCAAGGCAACGAUGCGUAGCCGACCUGAGAGGGUGAUCGGCCACACUGGGACUGAGACACGGCCCAGACUCCUACGGGAGGCAGCAGUAGGGAAUCUUCCGCAAUGGACGAAAGUCUGACGGAGCAACGCCGCGUGAGUGAUGAAGGCUUUCGGGUCGUAAAACUCUGUUGUUAGGGAAGAACAAGUGCUAGUUGAAUAAGCUGGCACCUUGACGGUACCUAACCAGAAAGCCACGGCUAACUACGUGCCAGCAGCCGNNG